rnacentral:lncRNA from 1 species
GAAAUUCUUUGAACCAUCUCCUUUAAGCCCAUAAGCUAGCACUGGCAGGAGAAGUCUCUCUCCAGCCUGGGAAACGAAUCAUGGAAAUGUGUCGCUGCACCAAAAUGGGGCAGUGUGGGAGUGACUCACUGCAGGAAGCAGCCGCCUGCCGGCAGCUGCGGAAGAGAUAGACCAGAGCUGCGAGGACAGAGGAUGCACUGGGGAGGGAAGGGAAGGCUUCAGGCACUGGAGCCAACCAGGUGCAGCCGGCUGAGCAGGGCCUGGGGUGCUCAUGCCUGCCCUGAGGUCUCAGUGGCCUAGAGGUUCCUCCCUGGGUAUUAAAGGAAAGUUACAGCCCAGGGCGUCACGUUACCUAGGCUGGCAUGGAGCACAAGGGGGCUUUGCUCAGUGUGCCUAGCAGAGGCUGCAGUGUUCCUAGGGAGUCCAGUGUACAUGCUUGGAAAUCAGCGAGGCUGGCAGCCGCCAGAGAGCGGCGUCUAUACAACCAGAUCCUGGGCCUGCCCCAAAAAUCCAGGCUGGGAAAUAAUCUUUACUGUGGAAAAGAAGAAACAGGAGAAAUUACUCUUUUAGCAGAAUGGUCAGGGUGGCAGCCCCUGGAGGUACAGCUGCAUACAGCGUGGCAUGUAUGAAAUAGGUCAAACACUUACACAGGGCCAGGCAAGCUGUGGCUGCAGCCUCAAAGCAGGAGGCCAG